UACGGGGGGGGCAAGCGUUGUUCGGAUUCACUGGGCGUAAAGGGUGCGUAGGUGGCUUGGUAAGUUUGAUGUGAAAUCUCCGGGCUUAACCCGGAAAUGGCAUUGAAUACUAUUGAGCUGGAGGUUUGGAGGGGGGACUGGAAUUCUCGGUGUAGCAGUGAAAUGCGUAGAUAUCGAGAGGAACACCAGUGGCGAAGGCGAGUCCCUGGACAACACCUGACACUGAGGCACGAAAGCUAGGGGAGCAAACGGG
rnacentral:rRNA from 1 species